GGGGAAUUUUCCGCAAUGGGCGAAAGCCUGACGGAGCAAUACCGCGUGAGGGAUGAAGGCCUCUGGGCUGUAAACCUCUUUUCUCAAGGAAGAAGAUCUGACGGUACUUGAGGAAUAAGCCACGGCUAAUUCCGUGCCAGCAGCCGCGGUAAUACGGGAGUGGCAAGCGUUAUCCGGAAUUAUUGGGCGUAAAGCGUCCGCAGGCGGCCUUGAAAGUCUGUUGUUAAAGCGUGGAGCUUAACUCCAUUUCAGCAAUGGAAACUACAAGGCUAGAGUGUGGUAGGAGCAGAGGGGAUUCCCGGUGUAGCGGUGAAAUGCGUAGAUAUCGGGAAGAACACCAGUGGCGAAGGCGCUCUGCUGGGCCAUAACUGACGCUCAUGGACGAAAGCCAGGGGAGCGAAAGGGAUUAGAUACCCCUGUAGUC
rnacentral:rRNA from 1 species